rnacentral:lncRNA from 1 species
GCUUCAGAAGACAAGGAGAAUGUUCUCACUUCUGGAGCUGUCACGUAGAACAGAAUAAAAUACUUCUGCAUCUGGAGGGAAGCAUCUCACAAUAUGAUCUAUCCCAUUGUUGCCAUCUUUGUAUCUGCCAGUCCAAGCCUGGAAGUAAAACCAGCAAGCCAUAGUGCAAAGUUCCAAGUACCUCUGCCCAUCCUGGAAAUAAAAGGUAUUGGAAGACCAAUUUUCCCAUUGUGUUCAGUCUUUGGCCUCAAUGGUGCUCAUCUGUAUAUGGUAGGAUAUGGGAUAGUCCAGUGCACCAACUUCUUCCCUCCAGCUUUGGCCUCUACCAAAGCACAAUCCCUGCAUUAUCCACUGCCCACUGCUUCCUCCGAGACUUCCACAGGAGUGCCUAGGGAAGUCAAAUUAUGCUCCUAAGGUGCUGGCUGGCCCAGCAUAUAGAACAAGAUAUACUCUACAUAUCGUUGAAGGAAAUAGCAUUUAUAUUUCUGCUGUUCAAGGAGUCCUAAGGUCUGCUCAGUAACUAUGUUAAGCCCUCCUUAUACUUCAGAUUCACAGAUUUCAGGGGGCCAGUUGAGGGCAUAUAUUCCCAAGAACUCAUUCAAUCAGACCAAACCAGGAGGUUUAGGGAGUUUGCCCAGUCCUUUAAGUGACUUCAGCACUUCUUUCUCAGUGUACAUCCAGCAUGAAACAUUUCCUGCAAAAAAUUGUAGAUAUUGAAGAGAAAAUUUAAAAAGGCAUGUAGGCGCCUAACAUGUCACUCCAGAAGAAUGCAAUUGCCUGAAUUGAUGUCAUCCAUCUGAUUUCUUACACACCUGAAGAUGAGCUCCAGUAGGUACCUAGAAGUUUCUAACACAGCUCUGGUGACUGUCUCUGGAUCAAGUGCGUACUGUUGACGGUGCCUCUGGAUCACCCCCACCAGCUGAGCUUUGGUUUGCAUCCAGGAUCAAGGUCAGAACGCACCAGCUGGCUUCCUCUUGGGUAAAAUCCAUCUGGAAAAGGCACUCUGGGAGCUCACUGAACAUGCCCAAGGCACACAUGGGUGUCUCAGCUUGAUGGAACCAGGAAGCACCAUUCCAGAAAGAGUGUCCUGAAGGACGUGUGCCAUGGCCACGUGGGGCUCACUUCCAGCUCUUUCGCUGAACACAUCUGCUCCUAUUGGUCUGCGUGACAAGUGCAGGCACAGCCACUGUAGCUGUGCAGCUCGUCCCAGAGCUGACUGCAUGUGCACAUACGUGCGCGGGGCCGUGUCACCUGCACACGCGUGCGUGCACAUGUGUGUGCACGUGUAAUUUAUCAUUUUUUUGUGUGUGACACACCAAAAAUAAUGUAUGAGCUCCCUCUGCUGCUUUAUACAAAGAAAUUAAUCACGAAAAUUGCUUGCAAAGCUGAGAGCAUUUUAUUCAUAUCUUGCUGAUAAUGCUGUAUGCACAAGUAAUACUAAAAAUAAGUGUGUAUUAUGCUUGCAAAGCACUGUCCAAACAUUAAAUAAUUAAAUAAACAGAAGAAUCUGUGUUGGCUUUUUUGACUC